GUGUGACGGGUUUUUGUUACUUUUAUUCGGCGGCGAAUUCCCCUGUGCGGAGGAGCGUUCAGUUCAUUUUUCUCUGCAGUUUGUCAUACGCACGCGGAUUAGUAAGAACUGGCUAAUUCAUCGGGAGGCACCCGGCGCCGCGAA
rnacentral:ncRNA from 1 species